rnacentral:lncRNA from 1 species
GACACUGUGGCCACCAGUGACCCAGAAAUCCCACAGCUCCCUGCAAGUUCAGGCUGGGUAACCUAUGUGAGGGGCAGCCCUGGGCUGAUCCCACCUAAGCCACUUCCCGCAAGUAUCAGCUUCUAAGGAACCCCAGCUCCCUUGCCCAGCCCCCUGCCCACCCUGGCCUGGACCUUGGGAGGCCAGGCUGGCUGAGGGUCCUGCAUCCACAGGUGACUGGGAAGUUCCGCGGGGGUGUGAACCCUUUCACCCGAGGCUGCUGUGGGAAUGUGGAGCACGUGCUGUGUAGCCCCCUGGCGCCCCGGUACGUGGUGGAGCCACCCCGGCUGCCGCUCGCGGUGAGUUUGAAGCCGCCUUUCCUUAGGCCUGAACUCCUGGACCGAGCUGCACCGCUCAAGGUCAAGCUUAGUGACAACGGGCUGAAGGCUGGCCUGGGCCGUAGCAAGCCCCACACACCACUGACCCCGCUCCCUCCCAGUCCAAGGGCAGCCUGGACCGGCUGGAUGAGAAGCCACUGGACUUGGGGCCACCACUGCCCCCCAAGAUAGAGGCUGGCACGUUCAGCAGUGACCUGCAGACCCCGCGCCC